UUAUCAACCGAAAAGUUUAACAAGAAGUUACGCCUUUUUUCAGAAAAAAAUGACGGUCUUGUUUUAUGAUGUCACCUUUCAAUUUAAAAUCGAGAAUCAACAGGAAGAGCGCGUUUAGCAGAAAGUGAAGCUCGUCUCCUUAGGGGUGAAAGCUGCUCUUACUCUCUACAAAAUGAAGAGAUUGCUGAUUCUUUUCUGUGUUUGUGCUCUUGUCCUGUCGUCGGUCUGGGCUAGCGAGGACAAAAUAACACCUUCCACAAGUAGCCAGAAAGCAUUGGCAUCUUCUACAACUAUCAAGGUAAGGAAGCAAUAUUUAUUUUAGUAAGUGAUUAAAAUGAGAAGUCACACUAUAUUGCCAAAAGUAUUGGGACACCUGCCUUUACACACACAUGAACUUUAAUGACAUCCCAUUCUUAAUACAUAGGCUUUAAUAUGGAGUUGGCCCACCCUUUGCAGCUAUAACAGCUUCAACACUUCUGGGAAGGCUUUCCACAAAGUUUCGGAGUGUGUUCAUGGGGAUUUUUGACCAUUCGUUCAGGCAGCAUUUGUGAGGUCAGACAUUGAUGUUGGAUGAAAAGGCCUGGCUUGCAGCCUCUGCUCUAAUUCAUUCCAAAGGUGUUCUAUCAGGUUGAGGUCAGGGGUCUGUGCAGGCCAGUCAAGUUCCUCCACCCCAUACUCGCUCAUCCAUUUCUUUAUAGACCUUGCUUUGUGCACUGGUACGCAGUCAUGUUGGAACAGGAAGGGGUCACCCCCAAACUGUUCCCACAAAGUUGAGAGCAUGAAAUUGUCCAAAAUGGCUUUGUAUGCGGAAGCAUUAAGAGUUCCUUUCAUGGGAACUAAGGGGCCAAGCCCAACCUCUGAAAAACAACCCCACACCAUAAUCCACCCUCCACCAAACUUUACACCUGGCACAAUGUAGUCAGGCAAGUACUGUUCUUCUGGCAACCACCAAACCCAGACUCAUUCAUUAGAUUGCCAGACAGAGAAGCAUGAUUCGUCACUCCAGAGGACAUGUCUCCAAUGCUCUAGAGCGCAGUGGCGGUGUGCUUAACACCACUGCAUCCAACGCUUUACAUUGCACUUGAUGAUGUAAGGCUUGGAUGCAGCUGCUCUCCAUGUAAACCCAUUCCAUGAAGCUCUCUACUCACUUUUCUGGAGCUUUUGGAGGUCUGCAGCUAUUGACUUCGCAGAAAGUGCCUUAUGUUCUUUUUUUUAAAUCCUUGCUGGUGUACAUUACUUUGUUCAAGUAUCCAUAGGUAUGUAAUGUGCUCAGAAUAGUGUGUGUAGCAUGAUUGUAUGAGUGCACAGUAGGUGCUUGGCUUGCUAUCAGAUACAAUGGCUUGUUAAACAUUAAUUUUAAGUCUAAUACAUUGCAGAGUUUUUCAGAAACAUUCCCAGAACCUUGGAGCUCAGUGUGAUGUAUGUACCUAAAUCAGCAGAACUGUCAAUAAUCUCUAUCUCUCUGUUUCUCUUUUUAUUUAGGGUCCCAUAAGCUCAGCUUGUGCUGUAAUGGUAAAUGUGGCCUUUACUCUCAUGCCGCUUGUUUUCCUGAGACUCUUCUAGGCACUCCAUAUGUAGUUCCUAUAUACGUGCUGCAAAGUGAUCCAUCUGUGAGGAGGUUCUCAUAGUGGGAUGACCCCAGUCUGCAAGAUACUGCAAACCAUUAAGUACACAGCACUGUAUUGUAAAAUGCAAAUCUCCAUGCAUGUUAUUGGUGUUACAUUAGCCUUGAAAACAUGUCAAUUUUAAGAAAGUUUGGCAUUGAGUCACCGUCAUAAAGUUGGUAAUUGGGGUUACUGUCCCCACUUUCUUUUUGCUGUGGAGGUGAUUGCAAUACCUCUUCCAAUAAAUGAUUCUUCUGCUG